rnacentral:SRP_RNA from 2 species
GCUGGACAUGGUGGCACAUGCCUGUAGUCCCAGCUACUUGGAAGGCUGAGGCAGGAGGAUAGCUUGAGCCCAGGAGGUCAAGGUUGCAGUGAGCCGAGAUUGUGCCACUGCACUCCAGCCUGGGCAACAGAGCAAGACCCUGCCUCAA